rnacentral:rRNA from 1 species
UUUAAAUGGCCGCAGUACCUUGACUGUGCUAAGGUAGCAUAAUCAAUUGGCUUCUAAUUAAAGUCUGGAAUGAAAGGAAAAAUGAGGUAGUUCUGUCUUAAAGAAUUUUUUUUGAAUUUAUUUAAAUGAUGAAAAUAUCAUUUUUUUAGAAAAAAGACGAGAAGACCCUUAGAGUUUUCAAUUUUUUUUUGUUGGGGCGACAAGUAAACAAUUAAACUUUACUAGUGUGAUAAAUCGAUUUUUUAUAAGAAUAAUUAAACUACCUUAGGGAUAACAGCAUUAUAUGUUUUUUAUGAUUGUGACCUC